AGCUGCUGCUUUCUACAUUAUCGCAACUGCCAGAGCUCUUAGUGCUGCAGUUUUCUAGUCGCAGUGCGGCAAAGCAGACGCAUAGACCCAGGCACAAAGCAGCAUAGAUUUUUUAUUCUCGUCUUUUUUUUGUAUGAGGGAGAUUUUCCUGGUGUUAGCGUAGGAACAGACACGCAGCCUGGAUGUGUUGGCUUCAGCCUGGCAGCACUUUCAGCUGAACAGGGACUGUUCGGAGCUCGGUACCCAAACUGCCUCUGAGGAAGAAUGCCUGGUUUCUCAUUUUGUAUACUAAGAGGUUCUUUAUGCCACGAUGAUAUACCUGCAGCCAUAGGACAAAGGAGAUCAUGGUAUUUGUCACUGUUUGCCUGACUGGGGCCUUUGCAGGCACUCCACUGCUGAAGCCGUGCCAGCGUCCCAGGGUCGUAUAGAUUGGUAAUACAGAUUGCCGCAAUUUCUUACAGCAGUAUUGCAAAGCUCAAAUGAGAAACCAGACUCUGAACUAAAUCAAUCCCAGUCCUUCUGGAUACAGGGCAGCAGGCGACUAGCAAUGACACAACCAGCCAUCAAGUGGAGAGUCUCUGGGACUGCAGUCUGUAUCAGUUGGAGUCUGUGAGAAUGAAACACUUUCGGUUAUCCAGUCGCUUCUCCUUCUUCUAAUACUACAAUUACUACAACUGCUACAACUGCUACUACUACUAUUACUUCUUUUUUCUUGCCUGUAAGAAGCUAUUACUUGCGCUUGGUCUCUGAGUGUAUGUUUGCGUGGAUUAGUUUGCCUGUAAAGCAGUCCUUAUCUGCUCCUGCUGGAAAUCAGGGCACAAAGUCAGCCUGCUUUAACAGUUGUUUCUUCCUGCGUGAUGCUAUGCAGCUAGAAUGGGUUACACUGGCAACAAAGGAACCAACACAAAGCAUCACUUUAUUUGCUGGACUGUUACAGGAACAUAAGUCUUCUACGAUAUGAUGCCCUGUUCUCUCUCUUUUUUUUUUUUUUUUUUUUUUUUUAAUUCAUCUAAUCGAAGAGCAUAACAGACACCAUCGUGGAUGUGGUUUUUAAUGAUUUGGAAAAGACAGCCUGUGGAGACUGUGAUUUGAGACUGCAACACAUUUAGGUUAUUGCCAAUUUGAAAUACUUGGUUUGUGAAGCACAGCCCUAAGGGACAAGCGCAGUAACUGAGAAAGAGAUUGUAGAUAAAGAAAUAAAAAUGACAAGCGUAAUGGAGGCUCUGCAAAAGAGACUGUCAGAGAAUCAGUUCAUGGAUGGCAAUUUCACCAGUUUGAAUCUGAAUAAUUCAUAGAUUGAAAUUACCCUGCUUUCACCUUUCCAUUUAAACCGGCAUGAUCUGAAUCUCUAAUAAAUUUUCAAGAUAAAGUAAAAUGCCAAUUUGAAUCUGAAGAGCUUUUAAAACCAGAUGCUACACCCUGAAUUUUUUGAUACCUUUCACAAUUAUCCUGUGAGAACUGCACUUCAUCACGAAGCACCAUUACCAGUGAAAAUUACUGUGAUUACAAUAGCAACAAUAGAAUACCAUCAAAUGAUCUCCAAUUUACCUAAUUUACCAGGGCUGACUGUGUGCCCAUUGUGCUUCACUACGUCUGGCAUUGGAUCAAUAUCACAGAGGAACAAAAAUGCCUUAGUAUAUGCUUCCUUUUGGUGCCUUUAACUUCGACAGCACAGGAAAAUCUAUCUACUGUUAAAUGGUUUUACAGCCGAUCUACAUGCCUGCUGUAGGAUCUGAUUGAUUCUCCGUGUUUUUCUUUAGUUGCUGGGCAUUGGAUGUCAUUGUGUUACUAAUUUGUUUAUAACGUAUACUCCUGCACAAAGACUGCAGCAAAUGAGUAACAGCACAGCAGCUCUGCACUGCUACAGCAGUAGCAGCGCUCUCGCAGGGGAAGCCAAAAUGAGUUCGGUGCCUUAUGUGAAUAAUUACUUGUGUCUGGGUUAUAAAUGCUCUCUAGCAUCACUGGUCUUGGUUGCAUGACACGACAAUUGAAUUCAAAAGCCAUGGUCAAGGGAAAUGAUCGUGUGCAAUCCAAACAAGAUUUUUUUCCCCCCUAUUCAGCAUUUUGUAAGAGAUUGUGAGAGAUAGGCUGUGACUCUGUCUAUGAAUGCAUGUCUGUACAUAUGCAUGUACAUAUGUAAAUGUAACGAUAGCAUGCUUUGUGAAUAUGUACUGAUCACUGAAAGUAACAACUUUUAUGGACAAGCCAGGCACAGUGUUUUGCCACAAUCUGCUUGGUUGUAACAUAUUUCUGUUUUGGAGGUGUAAGUUUUCUAUAGGAUUGCGUGUGACUUCUGGAACAGUAAGUGCCAUUUAUAGAGUAUGUUGGUGCCUAUACCUAUGCUACAAAAUAUAAUUUUAAACAUAGAGUCCUUGUAGCAUGACUACAGUACAGAGAAGUUUGAAAAAUGUACAGAAGGCUAUAACAGGCAUUCUGCAUGGAGACAACUGUGUCUGCUGUCUGUAUGUGUGUGAGUUGUACACUUCAAUCUUGUUUUUCAUUUUAUAACCAGAUUUACUCUGCCUCCAGGGAGUACUUGCUAAGGAAGGUAACAUAUGUUUUUAAUAAGUUGAUGCCAAACAUAAAAGAAAAAUAAAAAGGAACAGUGUUGGGAGACAAAGGGAGAUAACACACUGAAAGCACUGGGAAUUAUGCAUUGAAGAGGAAUCCCUGUGGAGCUGAUAGUUGUGGAUUAAUGACUGGUAUACCAAGCAGGUAACCUGAAGACUGAGUGGUUACAGGCAUAUUGGAUUCCACACCUUGGCAGAGGAUUAUUUCAGCAUAUGUUCCAGGACAGCUCAGCACUUAAGUCUUACAUGAAAGAAAAAAACAGUUGAUUCUGCAAUAAUUUGUUUGGAUCUCGUGAAGGUUUCAAGGAUUGCAUAUAGUCCUCAAGGGGCAGGACAAGCAAAUCGAUUGGGAUGAAGCUAGGUUUCAAGUCUUUACUUGUCUAGACAUAAAGCCUCUUUCACUAAAAAGAGGAAUGGGGGAAGACAAGGAAUUCUUUUAAAAGAAGAAUUUCAUUCAUUUGUGCAUUAUGGUAAUUAUACCGCUGUCUUAAAUGCUUGGAGGUGGAUGGUGUUUGUGACCUCUCUGGUAUGUUUCAUAGGGAAACAGCAUAACCUUCCACUGUCCCGAAACAGAAGUGGGCCCCCUAUCUAUUAAAGCUGUCUUGGGCAAGUCAGCAAACUCUGUAAUGGAUCCUUUAUAUCCCCCUAAACACACCUUAUAGUGUAGGGCACAUUCCAAUGAAAUGGGGGAAGUUCCUACAGUUUGAUUACUUAUUGUUGAAACAGCUUGUUGUAAAAGCUGAUAAUAAAAUAGACUGUGCUUUUUGUUAGCAGGGUAACCACAUUAAUGAUACAAUAGUUAUAUCAGGGACAUACAUUGACUUUUAAAGAUGUCCCUUCAGCCUCUCUAAUACGUGAGUUCAGAGGAGGAAAAAAAAAAAAAAAAAAAAAAAAAAAAAAAAGAGUUUGUUUAAAGUUUUAAUUUUCCCCAGCAGCAUAUAAUAAUUUACUGCCUUUUUCUGUCUUUCAGGUUCAUGCUCAUUACCUCGGGUUGCAGCUACAAUAUUUUAGCUGACAUUCUUCUUGUCUGUUGAACUGACAGAGCCUAUCAGGGUAAUUCAGGUAAGUCCCUUAAUCAAACGCAAAAUUAUUAGGGAAAAAAGCAUUUGGUAGUGCUCCUGGAAGUUACUUCCCUGAAUCUGGAAUUUGCAUGCCCCAUAAAAUGGCCUGCCCAGUUACACUACGUGUACUGCAAUUUCACAAAGGUGCUCCAGAUAUCUUGGUCAGAGGGAAACUGUAAAUUCCAGCCUUGCUGGUAACCCACUGCUGCUACUCUCCUGCUCCAAAAUACUUCUGCAGGUGGCUGAGAGCAACUGCACAACACAUAACAGGGCAGCUGUGGGAGGUAUCCUCAGGUGAUGCAUGGCCACAAUCUGUGGGCUACAUUACUGAUGCUCAGCAGUUUCUAGCUGUGUGGAAGCACUUGAACAGCAUCGUCUUAUCUUAGAAAAGAGAAAUAUUAUUAAUUGCAAUGACUGUACAAAUAAAGGUAAUGCAUUAAGAGAAAAA